AUGUUGUAUAAAAGGAGAGAAAGUUAGCAUUCCCCUUGACAAAGAUGGAAGAGGCCCUUGCAUGGGCCUAACAACAUGCAUACGGUUAAGGCAUUGCCACCUACUUCGUGGCAUCUAACCACUGGUUUUU